UGCGUAGGCGGUCCGGCAAGUUCGGUGUGAAAUCUCCCGGCUUAACUGGGAGGGUGCGCCGAAGACUGUUGGGCUGGAGUAUGGGAGAGGCAGGCGGAAUUCCUGGUGUAGCGGUGAAAUGCGUAGAUAUCAGGAGGAACACCGGUGGUGUAGGCGGCUUGCUGGACCAUAACUGACGCUGAGACACGAAAGCGUGGGGAGCAAACA
rnacentral:rRNA from 1 species